GAAAACAUAUCUUGAAAAUAUGCGGGCCCACAUUUUCAUUAAAACACGGAAAACCGCUGCGAGCCGAACCCGAGCGGUUGAGAUAGCCCUAGUUCGCAGUCCAUACUCCCUCUCGGCGCAACAUCAAAGCUCGAUCCCAAUUCUCUACUGCUCAUUGUCGAUGCCAAUUCUCGUCUCACCGCCCCGCGGCAUUGGAGCGUUUCUCAUCUCCCCACUGCUCGACAUCGGCACAUAUCACCUGCUCGAUCUCCACAUAUUGGUGCUGGUUCUGUUUCUUUUUUUUUGAGACUACCUCGAGAGGGUUCUCAGCAUCUGUGCUCAGAUUCCUUCCAAGUCUGCUUCGGGACAUGUUGAUCAAUGCUUGAACCUUUUUCCGGUUUAUCCUUUAUUCCCUCCAAGAUGUAUAUUGAUCUAAUGGUAGUUGGAGAAGGCGUCGAGGAAGCUCAUCACGGAAUGACCAAUUGUUGUUUAUACUAGCACGUUAUCUAUGGAUGCAAGAGCUAAAUACGAACGAGUUAGAACGAGAAAAAUCAAGCGAAAAGUGCCAUGAAGCGACGUGACCACACCACCUAUUGAAUAUAGACAGUGUGACCACGCCGGAAUUGGUGUGAUCACACCACCUGGAGCAGUAGGGCGGCGUGACCAUGCUGACCCAUGUAUCUAGCUGCAUGACCACACCAAUGAGCGGGAAAAUACUUUAGAAAGGAAAUUUGAUAGCCCAUGCUGUGAUUCCUGCUAUAAAAUCAAUUCUUAGGGUUUAUUGGAGGAAGUUCUGCAUUAGAGGAGGCUUGGACGCUAAAAGAAGAGAAUUUGAGAGAGAUUUUGAGGGGUUUCUUGAAGUUUGCUUUCUCCUUUCGUGGAAGCCUUUAAGGGAGAGUUUUUCUUUAUUUUGUAUUUAUGAACGAGUUGUAUGAGAGAAAGGUGCUGACCUUGCAGAUAAACUAAUUUCUUGUAAGUUUUUCAUAAUAAUGUUGCUUGCAAUGAAUUUUCACAUGGUGUUUUUCGCUAUGGUUCUCUCCCUAAUGAGCGGCUAAAUUUUUCGUGUCUUUGUGAUGUAGUGAGUAGUGUAUGUAUUGUAGAUUUUCUGUAAUAUUCUUUUGUUAAUCAUUUUCUUUCUUCUGUUUUCAUAGCCUAUGUUGGUUAACCUCAGAACUUAAUUCACCCAUAGUUUGAUUAACUAGGAUGUUAAAAUGUUUCAUAAAACUAUGACCUCUAACUGUUGCGUAGUGGAAAUGAAGAGUUAACCACAUAAUUCCAAAAGAAUAGACAUAUUCCAGCGGAAUUCUACAAUCCUUUCAGGGGAUGGAAAAAAAACAUGCUGAAUGUCAUGGUAAUUGAGGAAGUCUCAACUUCAUGAGUUGUAGACUUCUUUUAACCUAGACAUAGGCAUAAGAAGUAUUAUGUCCCUGAUUGACAACAGUCACAUAGGAAAACAUUUAGGAAGAAUCAUGGUCGUCACAAUCCUCAAAUCACAGAGACACAAGCCUCAUCUAUCUUGAAGUAACUUAUGAGCUUCUCCUAUUUUCUGCUUUCUUUCAUUGCCGAGUAUUCUAUUUUGCUAGGACCUUAGGACUUAAAAACCUUCUUUUGACAAAGACUAAGCUAGGUUAACUAGAUCAGUAAAUUAAAGAUAUUAUGUGGAAACAAAUAUUACACUUUUCCUGUGGAAUCGAUAAGCGGUACUCUUGAACUGCAUUAUUACUUGACACAUGCACUUGCGUUAUACGGUCAACUUAUGUCUCGAUAAGUUUUGAUGCUUUCUAUCUAUAGGGCAAGUUUUGUUCAAAUUAGUGAAGUCAACACAUUUUUCACUUGAAAAUCGAUUUCUACACCAUGAUAACAUUUAACACCCAUAUCGGUUACUAAACCCCUUCGAUGUAGUCGACCUCCAACAACUUUUGGACCUCCUGGAUUGGCUCUGUUAGGGUAAGGGCAGACGUCCUCAUCCUUUGCCUCAUAAGUUGAGCCCCCAGGUUGACCUUUAGGUGGUUGCAAGGCAUGUGAAUCAGUCCUCCAAGCACUCGGUGACAUACCGAGAAAAAAAAAUCUCAGUGGCUCUAGAUGGUGUCGAUCAAUGCAUUCUUGUGACAUGCAUCAAAAGUUUCACUUAGUAAAAAAUAUUACCAGUGUCGCCUUCAGUUGCAGGGAUCUGAUGGGUGGUCUUGUUCGUCUCGAGACCCUCUUCUCGUAGGUCGUCGAUCUUAAGGAGUUCCUUCUAGAUGCCCACAGAGCGAUCAAUCAUUCACUCUUAAGGCCCAUCUUGUCAAACACCAACUUAAAGGGGAUGUUCACAGAGCUGUCUGUGUUAAUGAGGGUGUUAAUAAUCUGACAGUUGUCAAUCAACACAGUUAAAUUGGUAGCUUCAUUGUAGAGAGUACCCUUAGGAGGCAAGUCUUCACUGGUAAAGACUAUGGGUAGAUGUGAGCAAUGUUUGGGUGCGAGGGUGGCUGCGCAUAACUCUCUCGAUCGAAGCCUCUUCGGGCUAGCUUGGCAGGACAAGUUUCCAUCUCCUUCAAAGAGGAUGGGAACUACAACAGUGAUACAAAUUUCUUGAAUUCAAACUAGUCUGUCUGAUAUUUUUUCAACUGGAGCCUUCCCCUGCAGCUGGCUCAUUGCUCCAAGUGCCACAAAUUCCUUCAUUCUCCUCAAUUUGAUUAACUCCUUGAUUAAGCUUCAAAGGUGUCGAAAGUCAUUUUUGUUAUGACUUGAUCACAAUGAUAGGAGUAAUAUUUCUUAGGAUCUCGGAGGUAAGCUCCCGCCUUCAUCAGAGGCACUCUUUGACUGUAAAUUUUAAUUUGUGUGGCCUAUAUUAUCUCGACUAUUAAAACUCUCAACAGAGUUAGUUUGGUUGUUUCAUGGUUGGGUAGCGGGUACUGGUCAUACCAAGUUGGAUGCUGGUAAGGAUAUCAGGCCUGACUCCCUCGGUGGUUCAUUCUAUCGGUCGUCUGAUGAUCUUGGGGUGACCGAGCAUCUUCAUAACAAGGGUGGGCAUAAGGGUGUGAAUUGUGUCUUAGUUUCCACUUUUUUCCUUGAGCGUUCCUUUUCUGUGGGUGAUACGUGGAGGAUUCUACUUUGGAGGGUGCGGGUUGGAGUUAUACUUCUUUGUUGAUAUGUGAUUAUUGGCUAGCUCCAACAACUCAACUAGUGUCUUUGGCCGCUAUAGGCCUAAAUUGUAUCAGAAGGGUCCUUCUUUCAGCCCUUGUGUUUGGGCGGCUCGGGCAACCGUGGGUUCUAGGUGCUGUACUUCCAACAUCUCAUUCUUGAAGACUAUAUCUGGCAAAGUUGUAGAAAGGUGAGCACUGAUAAAUUAUGCCACAAAUAUCCACUUGAAAUCAACAAAUGACAUGAUUACUCGAAGCACUUGAUGGCUGACUCCCUCAGCGUAAUAAAGAAAAAAAAAUGAAAUUUUAGCACGUGAGUGAUUCUCAGCAAACACGCGAUCGACUCUAACGAAAGCUAUAUGUUCAGUCAAAUCGGUCCGCCCCUUGUAUGACUCAUGACUUCAACACUGGGAUCUUGAAUCGCUUUGGAGGCUUGACCUAAAAGAUUUGCCAUGAGAAUGCAUUCUUAGGCUGAUGGGGCACCUCAACUUGUUCGAAUAAAUGCUUAUUGAUUGAUGGGGACCUAAUUUGCCUUCCCUCUCUAGAGUUGGCGGGGCUCUUCUAUCGUUGGGUGCCGAACUUUCAUCCGGGGGCCGCUAAGAUAUCAGCGUGCCUUAGAUGACCUCCAAUAUCUGAUCCUUCAACUUUUGGAUUUGUUAGGCCGCUAAUAAUCUGGUGCACUCGAUGUUGUCAGUGUCUCUGUUAUGGUGAUCUUCUAUUUGAACUACCCCUCUUUUUAUUUGUGGCAUGAUCCACUCUCAUCAUAUCUUUUAGGCUGUUGAAUCCAUAUUUGUCCAUGAAUUACACCUAGGGGUGUAAAUGAGUUGAGUCGAGUUGAGGUCGAGCCAUUCCACCCUUGUGCUUGAGAUAGAUUAAUUUAAUCCAGUUCAAGCUCGAGCUCGAGCUUAGUUCUACAAGUUCGGGCCGGCUCAUGAGCUUUCUUGUUUAGCAUGAGAGAGAAAUUUUUAAUUUAAGCUAAUGUUAUAAUUAAAUGACAGAUAGAAUAAGUAUUUAU